rnacentral:misc_RNA from 1 species
GAUGAAGAACGCAGCGAAAUGCGAUACGUAAUGUGAAUUGCAGAAUUCAGUGAAUCAUCGAAUCUUUGAACGCAUAUUGCGCUCUCUGGUAUUCCGGAGAGCAUGCUUGUUUGAGUAUCAGUAAACACCUCAACUCCCUUUUCUUUUUUGAAAUGGGAGCUGGACUUGAGUGAUCCCAACGCUUUUCUCACCGGAAAGUGGCGGGUUACUUGAAAUGCAGGUGCAGCUGGACUUUUCUCUGAGCUAUAAGCAUAUCUAUUUAGUCUGCCUAAAAACAGAUUAUUACCUUUGCUGCAGCUAACAUAAAGGAGAUUAGUUCUUGUGCUGACUGAUGCAGGAUUCACAGAGACAGCUUCGGCUGACUUUGUAAACUCGAUCUCAAAUCAAGUAAGACUACCCGCUGAACUUAAGCAUAUCAUAAGCGGAGGA